AUGAAGGCAGUGUUACCGAAGCAAGGGUUGCCUUUCUGUGGCCAUGAUGAGUCCGAGGAGUCUCUCAAUAAAGGCAAUUUCAUGGAAUUUCAUGCUUACACAGCAGAGCAGAAUCCAGCUGUAAGAAAAGUUGUGUCCCAUAAUGCUCCAGAAAUUGGAAAUGAUGUAUUUUCUUUGUUGGUUGAUGAGUCGAGGGAUGUGUCUGGUAAAGAGCAAAUGGCAGUGGUAUUGCAGUAUGUUGGUAAAUGUGGAAGUGAUAUAGAUACAUUAGUUGGCCUUACUCAUGUGAAGGAGACAACCUCCAAGUAUCUCAAGUCUGCCAUUGAUGACUUAUUUGCAGAAUAUAAAUUAACUUUCAAGCAAGUUAGAGGUCAAGGAUAUGACGGUGCUAGCAAUAUGAGAGGUGAGUUCAAUGGCUUGCAAUCCUUAAUAAUGAGAGAGAACCCCACAACAUAUUAUGUUCACUGUUUUGCACAUCAGCUUCAGUUAGUUGUUGUGGCUGUUGUUCGUAAGCAUAAAUGCAUUGGCAAUUUUUUUGAUAUGAUCUCGGUCUUGUUGAAUGUUGUCUCUGGAUCAUCAAAAAGAAAAGACACGAUUCGAGACAGAUAUAAAGAACAAGUGUGUGAAGCUUUAGGUUGUGGACUAUUGAAAAGUGGGACAAGAUUAAAUCAAGAACUAGCUCUUCAAAGACCUGGAGACACUCGAUGGAGUUCUCACUACAAGGCUCUUAAGAGUUUGAUUGAUAUGUUCCCUACAAUUGUCAAAGUGCUAGAAUAUGUGGAAGAGGAAGACAGGGAUGAUACAAAUAGAAGGCAAGCAUGUGGUCUUCUUGUUUAUUUCCAGUCUUUUGAUUUUGUGUUCUACUUACAGCUUAUGUCCACCAUAUUGAUAAUCACAAACACAUUAUCAUUGGCUCUACAACGAAAGAAUCAAGACAUUGUGAAUGCCAUUAAUUGUGUGAAUUCAACCAAAGCCUCUUUGAAUGAUCUAAGGAGAGAUGGAUGGGAUUCUGUCCUACAUGAAGCAUAUGUCUUUUGUGACAAGCAUGACAUUUCCAAGUUGGAAAUGGAAGACCAAUAUGUGAAUCCAAAGAAGCCACGACAAAAAACAGGUAUCACUAAUAGGCAUCAUUAUGAAGUGGACUGUUUUAAUGAUGUCAUUGAUUGGCUAAUUCAAGAACUUGAUAAUCGCUUCAAUGAGAAAAAUUCUGAACUACUUGUCUGCUCGGCGGCUUUGAGUCCAAUUGAAUCAUUUCGUGAUUUCAAUUUAGAGCAUUUGAUGAGUCUAGCCAAACUUUAUCCAGAAGAUUUUGAUGAUGGAGAACUUAGGGACCUUAGACAUCACCUUCAUCUUUACAUUGCUGAUGUCCGAGUAGAUGAUCGCUUCUCUGGUUUAAGUAAUAUUUGUGAGCUCUCUCAAAAAAUGGUGGAGACAAGGAAACAUUGUAUAUCCCUUGGUUUAUCGACUUUUGAAGCUAGCACUAGUAUUGCUUGUUGGCACUGCUACAAUUGA
rnacentral:rRNA from 1 species